GCGGAGGUUGCCAAGCCUGGUCAAAGGCGUAGGGUUGAGGAUCUCGUAGGGGUCCGCGAGUUCAAAUCUCGCCCUCCGCACCA
rnacentral:tRNA from 1 species